rnacentral:rRNA from 1 species
UACGGAGGGGGCAAGCGUUGUUCGGAAUUACUGGGCGUAAAGCGCGCGUAGGCGGCGAUGCAAGUCAGAGGUGAAAUGCCCGGGCUCAACCUGGGAGGUGCCUUUGAUACUGUGUUGCUUGGAUCCAGGAGAGGUGAGCGGAAUUCCGAGUGUAGAGGUGAAAUUCGUAGAUAUCCGAAGAACACCACGUGGCGGAAGGACGGGCCUGCCA